GAACACCAGUGGCGAAGGCGGCUUACUGGCUCGAUACUGACGCUGAGGCGCGAAAGCGUGGGGAGCAAACCAGGAUUAGAUACCCUGGUAGUCCACGCCGUAAACGAUGGGUGCUAGUUGUCAGGCAGCAUGCUGUUUGGUGACGCAGCUAACGCGUUAAGCACCCCGCCUGGGGACUACGGUCGCAAGACUAAAACUCAAAGGAAUUGACGGGGGCCCGCACAAGCGGUGGAGCAUGUGGUUUAAUUCGAGGCAACGCGAAGAACCUUACCGGCCCUUGACAUACCAAUCGCGGAUAGCAGAGAUGCUUUCCUUCAGUUCGGCUGGAUUGGAUACAGGUGCUGCAUGGUUGUCGUCAGCUCGUGUCGUGAGAUGUUGGGUUAAGUCCCGCAACGAGCGCAACCCUCGCCUUUAGUUGCCAGCAUUAAGUUGGGCACUCUAGAGGGACUGCCGGUGAUAAGCCGGAGGAAGGUGGGGAUGACGUCAAAUCAUCAUGGCCCUUACGGGCCGGGCUACACACGUGCUACAAUGGCGGUGACAGUGAGCAGCCACUCAGCGAUGAGGAGCUAAUCUCUAAAAGCCGUCUCAGUUCGGAUUGUUCUCUGCAACUCGAGAGCAUGAAGUUGGAAUCGCUAGUAAUCGUGGAUCAGCAUGCCACGGUGAAUACGUUCCCGGGCCU
rnacentral:rRNA from 1 species